AGACGGGCCCCGCACAAGCAGCGGAGCGUGUGGUUUAAUUCGAUGUUACACGAAGAACCUUACCAGGGUUUGACAUGCAAGUGGUAGGAAGCCGAAAGGUGACCGACCCUUCGGGGAGCUUGCACAGGUGCUGCAUGGCUGUCGUCAGCUCGUGUCGUGAGAUGUUCGGUUAAGUCCGCUAACGAGCGCAACCCUCGCUGUGUGUUAUAUGUGUCACACGGGACUGCCGGUCUUAAGCCGGAGGAAGGUGGGGAUGAUGUCAAGUCAGCAUGGCCUUUAUAUCCUGGGCUACACACACGCUACAAUGGUCUGUACAAUGGGUAGCCAAGCCGCGAGGCGGAGCCAAUCCUGAAAGCAGGCCUCAGUUCAGAUUGCAGUCUGCAACUCGACUGCAUGAGGCCGGAGUUGCUAGUAACCGCAGGUCAGCAAUACUGCGGUGAAUACGUUCCCGGGUCUU
rnacentral:rRNA from 1 species